rnacentral:rRNA from 1 species
CUUAAGCAUAUCAAUAAGCGGAGGAAAAGAAACUAACAAGGAUUCCCCUAGUAACUGCGAGUGAACCGGGAAAAGCUCAAAUUUAAAAUCUGGCAGCCUUGGCUGUCCGAGUUGUAAUCUGGAGAAGCGUCUUCCGCGCUGGACCGUGUACAAGUCUCCUGGAACGGAGCGUCAUAGAGGGUGAGAAUCCCGUCUUUGACACGGACUACCAGUGCUCUGUGAUGCGCUCUCAAAGAGUCGAGUUGUUUGGGAAUGCAGCUCAAAAUGGGUGGUAAACUCCAUCUAAAGCUAAAUAUUGGCGAGAGACCGAUAGCGAACAAGUACCGUGAGGGAAAGAUGAAAAGCACUUUGGAAAGAGAGUUAAACAGUACGUGAAAUUGCUGAAAGGGAAACGCUUGAAGUCAGUCGCGUUUGCUAGGACUCAGCCUUGCCUCGGCUUGGUGCAUUUCCUAGUAGACGGGCCAGCAUCACUUUUGACUGCGGGAGAAAGGUUGGAGGAAUGUGGCACCUUCGGGUGUGUUAUAGCCUCUAGCUGUAUGCCGUGGUUGGGAGUGAGGAACUCAGCACGCCGCAAGGCGGGGCUUCGGCCACCUUCGUGCUUAGGAUGCUGGCGUAAUGGCUUUAAACGACCCGUCUUGAAACACGGACCAAGGAGUCUAACAUGCCUGCGAGUUUGGGGGGGGGAAAA